rnacentral:rRNA from 1 species
AGUGAACGCUGGCGGUAGGCCUAACACAUGCAAGUCGAACGGCAGCACAGGAGAGCUUGCUCUCUGGGUGGCGAGUGGCGGACGGGUGAGGAAUACAUCGUAAUCUACUUUUUCGUGGGGGAUAACGUAGGGAAACUUACGCUAAUACCGCAUACGACCUACGGGUGAAAGCAGGGGAUCUUCGGACCUUGCGCGAUUGAAUGAGCCGAUGUCGGAUUAGCUAGUUGGCGGGGUAAAGGCCCACCAAGGCGACGAUCCGUAGCUGGUCUGGGAGGAUGAUCAGCCACACUGGAACUGAGACACGGUCCAGACUCCUACGGGAGGCAGCAGUGGGGAAUAUUGGAAAAUGGGCGCAAGCCUGAGCCAGCCAUACCGCGUGGGUGAAGAAGGCCUUCGGGUUGUAAAGCCCUUUUGUUGGGAAAGAAAUCCAGCUGGUUAAUACCCGGUUGGGAUGACGGUACCCAAAGAAUAAGCACCGGCUAACUUCGUGCCAGCAGCCGCAGUAA